GGAUGCGAUCAUACCAGCACUAAAGCACCGGAUCCCAUCAGAACUCCGAAGUUAAGCGUGCUUGGGCGAGAGUAGUACUAGGAUCGGUUACCUCCUGGGAAGUCCUCGUGUUGCAUUCC
rnacentral:rRNA from 1 species